rnacentral:rRNA from 1 species
AUUGAACGCUGGCGGCAGGCCUAACACAUGCAAGUCGAGCGGAUGAAGGGAGCUUGCUCCUGGAAUCAGCGGCGGACGGGUGAGUAAUGCCUAGGAAUCUGCCUGGUAGUGGGGGAUAACGUCCGGAAACGGGCGCUAAUACCGCAUACGUCCUGAGGGAGAAAGUGGGGGAUCUUCGGACCUCACGCUAUCAGAUGAGCCUAGGUCGGAUUAGCUAGUUGGUGGGGUAAAGGCCUACCAAGGCGACGAUCCGUAACUGGUCUGAGGGGAUGAUCAGUCACACUGGAACUGAGACACGGUCCAGACUCCUACGGGAGGCAGCAGUGGGGAAUAUUGGACAAUGGGCGAAAGCCUGAUCCAGCCAUGCCGCGUGUGUGAAGAAGGUCUUCGGAUUGUAAAGCACUUUAAGUUGGGAGGAAGGGCAGUAAGUUAAUACCUUGCUGUUUUGACGUUACCAACAGAAUAAGCACCGGCUAACUUCGUG